UACGGAGGGAGCUAGCGUUGUUCGGAAUUACUGGGCGUAAAGCGCACGUAGGCGGCGAUUCAAGUCAGAGGUGAAAGCCCGGGGCUCAACCCCGGAACUGCCUUUGAAACUAGAUUGCCAGAAUCCUGGAGAGGUUAGUGGAAUUCCGAGUGUAGAGGUGAAAUUCGUAGAUAUUCGGAAGAACACCAGUGGCGAAGGCGACUAACUGGACAGGUAUUGACGCUGAGGUGCGAAAGCGUGGGGAGCAAACAGG
rnacentral:rRNA from 1 species